AACGUAGGAGACAAACGUUAUCCGGAGUUACUGGGCGUAAAGGGCGUGCAGGUGGUCUGUUAAGUCCGGCGUGAAAGCUCCUGGCUAAACCGGGAGAGGUCGUUGGAUACUGGCGGACUAGAGGACGGUAGAGGCGUGUGGAAUUCCGGGUGUAGUGGUGAAAUGCGUAGAGAUCCGGAGGAACACCAGUGGCGAAGGCGACACGCUGGGCCGUACCUGACACUGAUACGCGACAGCAUGGGGAGCGAACGGG
rnacentral:rRNA from 1 species